rnacentral:rRNA from 1 species
UUUAACGAGGAACCAUUGGAGGGCAAGUCUGGUGCCAGCAGCCGCGGUAACUCCAGCUCCAAUAGCGUAUAUUAAAGUUGUUGCGGUUAAAAAGCUCGUAGUCGGAUGUCUGUCUUCGGCCGGGCGGCGCCGCUCUGAAUCAAGGGUGCGCGUUUUCGCUCUGGGAGACGGGUGUCAAAGCCCGACUCUCUUUACGGUCGGACAACAUCGCCGGAGUGGUGGUCGGUGGGUCGUUCGCAAUCGGGCCGUGUCGCGGCGUUAAAAACCGCGGCGCGGAAUCCUGUUCGAUCCGCUCCACCCGUCAAUCGUUCGGGGUGCCCUUCACCGGGUGUCUCGGGCGGCCGGCAACGUUUACUUUGAACAAAUUAGAGUGCUCAAAGCAGGUGUAUCCCAACGCCUGAAUAUCGCAGCAUGGAAUGAUGGAAUAGGACCUCGGUCCGAUUUUGCUGGCUUUUUUCUUUUGGACCCGAGGUAAUGGUCAAUAGAGACGGAC